rnacentral:rRNA from 1 species
UACGUAGGGGGCGAGCGUUGUCCGGAUUUAUUGGGCGUAAAGAGCUCGUAGGCGGUCUGUCACGUCGGCUGUGAAAACCCGAGGCUCAACCUCGGGCCUGCAGUCGAUACGGGCAAACUAGAGUACUGCAGGGGAGACUGGAAUUCCUGGUGUAGCGGUGAAAUGCGCAGAUAUCAGGAGGAACACCGGUGGCGAAGGCGGGUCUCUGGGCAGUAACUGACGCUGAGGAGCGAAAGCGUGGGGAGCGAACAGG